rnacentral:rRNA from 1 species
CUUUCUUUGCUGGCGACCGGCGCACGGGUGAGUAACACGUAUCCAACCUGCCCUUUACUCGGGGAUAGCCUUUCGAAAGAAAGAUUAAUACCCGAUGGCAUAAUGAUUCCGCAUGGUUUCAUUAUUAAAGGAUUCCGGUAAAGGAUGGGGAUGCGUUCCAUUAGGUUGUUGGUGAGGUAACGGCCCACCAAGCCUUCGAUGGAUAGGGGUCCUGAGAGGAAGGUCCCCCACAUUGGAACUGAGACACGGUCCAA